UUCUCUAUCAAUGUUGGAGUGAGGACCAGUGUGAGUACUCUCAGUGGAAAUAUAUGUUAACAUCCAUCAAUUGGAUAAUUACUUGGUGUCAGUGAACAAUGCCUCUUAUUUCCUGAAACAAAGAAUAAAAAUACCUGCUUCAGAUUCUCUUGUUAAGGACAGAACAAAAACACAGCUUUUGUUUGUCAUGGGCACCAACUAAGAAAGAUACAGAUGCCUCAGGACAUAUAUUCCCCCCCCCCCCCAAUGGAAGACAACAAAUUUCUCCAUCAAGUUUCCAAGAGAACAAUAAUGGUUGUCAAGAUGAAAGGAAGAUGCUAUGUUAUUUGAUACUCACAUAAUUUUUGUUUGGUCUCUGCCCAAUGAUGAAGCUUUUCCAACAUGGCCAUGGAUUCGGGGAUCAUGUAGAGCUCAAGCAGGAAUUUUAUCUUUUGGCUUCUUUUGGACAGGAGGAAGGAAUGCAGCCAUUCCAGCAAACAGACCCAAUUAAUGUAGGAUAUAUCUUUGCCUCCACAGGACUCUCCCAGUCCCACCUUUCCAGAUACAACAUUGUUGUCCUUGCAUGAGAUGCUUGUGGCAGGG
rnacentral:lncRNA from 1 species